GUAGGUGGCAAGCGUUGUCCGGAAUUAUUGGGCGUAAAGCGCGCGCAGGCGGGGUCCUUUAAGUCUGAUGUGAAAGCCCACGGGCUCAACCGUGGAGGGUCAUUGGAAACUGGGGGACUUGAGUACAGAAGAGGAAAGCGGAAUUCCAAGUGUAGCGGUGAAAUGCGUAGAGAUUUGGAGGAACACCAGUGGCGAAGGCGGCUUUCUGGUCUGUAACUGACGCUGAGGCGCGAAAGCGUGGGGAGCAAACAGGAUUAGAUACCCUGGUAGUCCACGCCGUAAACGAUGAGUGCUAAGUGUUAGGGGGUUUCCGCCCCUUAGUGCUGCAGCAAACGCAUUAAGCACUCCGCCUGGGGAGUACGGCCGCAAAGGCUG
rnacentral:rRNA from 1 species